UCCAGACUCCUACGGGAGGCAGCAGUGAGGAAUAUUGGUCAAUGGGCUUACGCCUGAACCAGCCAAGUCGCGUGAGGGAAGACUGCCCUAUGGGUUGUAAACCUCUUUUGUCAGGGAGCAACGCCGGCUACGUGUAGCCGGACUGAGAGUACCUGAAGAAAAAGCAUCGGCUAACUCCGUGCCAGCAGCCGCGGUAAUACGGAGGAUGCGAGCGUUAUCCGGAUUUACUGGGUGUAAAGGGAGCGUAGACGGCAGCGCAAGUCUGAAGUGAAAUCCCAUGGCUUAACCAUGGAACUGCUUUGGAAACUGUGCAGCUGGAGUGCAGGAGAGGUAAGCGGAAUUCCUAGUGUAGCGGUGAAAUGCGUAGAUAUUAGGAGGAACACCAGUGGCGAAGGCGGCUUACUGGACUGUAACUGACGUUGAGGCUCGAAAGCGUGGGGAGUAAACAGGAUUAGAUACCCUGGUA
rnacentral:rRNA from 1 species